UAAAAGGAGCUUACAGAAGUGUCAAAGUAUUUCAUGACAUAUCUGCCCUUACCUGCUAACAUUUUCAGGAAAAUAGAGUUUCUGCCAACAAAGAUAUUGAAAAUAUACAUAAAUAUGCCCAGGAGUUUUCACCAUUAAAGUGAGUCCCUUCCCACACUGACUUAGGGCUUGGCCAUGUGACUUGCCAAUGUGACUUGUCAAUGGAAUAUCAGCAAAUAUGACAUAAGCUAAAGCUUGAAGAGCACUUGUACACUGGGGCUUACUCGCUUGGAACAUUGCCACCAUGUGACAAAACUCAUGCUAGCUUCCUGAAGACACAUGGCCCAGCCAACAGCCAGCACCAGCUUCCAGAAAAAUGAGUGAGACUCUAUAACCAUCCAGCCCCAGUUGAGUCAACAAGAAAACCACCUGAGAGAUCCCAGGCAAGCCAGCAGACAAACCACCUAGCUGAGCCCUGCCCAAAUUGAUGAUAAUGGAAUUAUGAACAAAUAAAAUGGUAGCACUUUUAGAUCAC
rnacentral:lncRNA from 1 species